rnacentral:rRNA from 1 species
GGUUAAGCGAAUAAGCGUACACGGUGGAUGCCUAGGCAAUCAGAGGCGAUGAAGGACGUGCUAAUCUGCGAAAAGCGUCGGUAAGGUGAUAUGAACCGUUAUACCCGACGAUAUCCGAAUGGGGAAACCCAGUAUCCAAUGGAUACUAUCAUUAACUGAAUCCAUAGGUUAAUGAGGCGAACCGGGAGAACUGAAACAUCUCAGUACCCCGAGGAAAAGAAAUCAACCGAGAUUCCCCUAGUAGCGGCGAGCGAACGGGGAGCAGCCCAGAGUCUUAAUCAAUAGCAGUGUCAGGAGAACGGUCUGGAAAGUCCGGCAGUAAAGGGUGAUAGCCCCGUAUCUGAAGAUGCUGUUAUUGUGAACUCGACGAGUAGGGCGGGACACGUGUUAUCCUGUCUGAAUAUGGGGGGACCAUCCUCCAAGGCUAAAUACUCCUGAUUGACCGAUAGUGAACCAGUACCGUGAGGGAAAGGCGAAAAGAACCCCGGCGAGGGGAGUGAAAAAGAACCUGAAACCGUGUACGUACAAGCAGUAGGAGCCUCUUUAUGGGGUGACUGCGUACCUUUUGUAUAAUGGGUCAGCGACUUAUAUUCUGUAGCAAGGUUAACCGUAUAGGGGAGCCGUAGGGAAACCGAGUCUUAACUGGGCGAAUGAGUUGCAGGGUAUAGACCCGAAACCCGGUGAUCUAUCCAUGGGCAGGUUGAAGGUUGGGUAACACUAACUGGAGGACCGAACCGACUAAUGUUGAAAAAUUAGCGGAUGACUUGUGGAUGGGGGUGAAAGGCCAAUCAAACCGGGAGAUAGCUGGUUCUCCCCGAAAGCUAUUUAGGUAGCGCCUCGUGAACUCAUCUUCGGGGGUAGAGCACUGUUUCGACUAGGGGGUCAUCCCGACUUACCAACUCGAUGCAAACUGCGAAUACCGAAGAAUGUUAUCACGGGAGACACACGGCGGGUGCUAACGUCCGUCGUGAAGAGGGAAACAACCCAGACCGCCAGCUAAGGUCCCAAAGUCAUGGUUAAGUGGGAAACGAAGUGGGAAGGCUCAGACAGCCAGGAUGUUGGCUUAGAAGCAGCCAUCAUUUAAAGAAAGCGUAAUAGCUCACUGGUCGAGUCGGCCCGCGCGGAAGAUGUAACGGGGCUAAACCAUGCACCGAAGCUGCGGCAGCGACACAUAGUGUUGUUGGGUAGGGGAGCGUUCUGUAAGCCUGCGAAGGUGUACUGUGAGGUAUGCUGGAGGUAUCAGAAGUGCGAAUGCUGACAUAAGUAACGAUAAUGCGGGUGAAAAACCCGCACGCCGGAAGACCAAGGGUUCCUGUCCAACGUUAAUCGGGGCAGGGUGAGUCGACCCCUAAGGCGAGGCUGAAAAGCGUAGUCGAUGGGAAACGGGUUAAUAUUCCCGUACUGGUGGUAACUGCGAUGGGGGAACGGAGAAGGCUAGGUUGUCCGGGCGACGGUCGUCCCGGUUCAAGCAGGUAGGCAGAGUGAUUAGGCAAAUCCGGUCACUUAAUGCUGAGAUGUGAUGACGAACCACUAAGGUGGUGAAGCAAUUGAUGCCCCGCUUCCAGGAAAAGCCUCUAAGCUUCAGGUUACCAACAAUCGUACCCCAAACCGACACAGGUGGUCAGGUAGAGAAUACUCAGGCGCUUGAGAGAACUCGGGUGAAGGAACUAGGCAAAAUGGUGCCGUAACUUCGGGAGAAGGCACGCUGGCGGUAGGUAAAGUCCCUCGCGGACAGAGCUGAAGCCAGUCGAAGAUACCAGCUGGCUGCAACUGUUUAUUAAAAACACAGCACUGUGCAAACACGAAAGUGGACGUAUACGGUGUGACGCCUGCCCGGUGCUGGAAGGUUAAUUGAUGGGGUUAGCGCAAGCGAAGCUCCUGAUCGAAGCCCCAGUAAACGGCGGCCGUAACUAUAACGGUCCUAAGGUAGCGAAAUUCCUUGUCGGGUAAGUUCCGACCUGCACGAAUGGCGUAAUGAUGGCCAGGCUGUCUCCACCCGAGACUCAGUGAAAUUGAACUCGCUGUGAAGAUGCAGUGUACCCGCGGCAAGACGGAAAGACCCCGUGAACCUUUACUAUAGCUUGACACUGAACAUUGAGCCUUGAUGUGUAGGAUAGGUGGGAGGCUUUGAAGUGUGGACGCCAGUCUGCAUGGAGCCAACCUUGAAAUACCACCCUUUAACGUUUGAUGUUCUAACCUAGGCCCAUAAACUGGGUCGGGGACCGUGUCUGGUGGGUAGUUUGACUGGGGCGGUCUCCUCCUAAAGAGUAACGGAGGAGCACGAAGGUUGGCUAAGCAUGGUCGGACAUCAUGCGGUUAGUGCAAAGGCAUAAGCCAGCUUGACUGCGAGAGUGACGGCUCGAGCAGGUACGAAAGUAGGUCUUAGUGAUCCGGUGGUUCUGAAUGGAAGGGCCAUCGCUCAACGGAUAAAAGGUACUCCGGGGAUAACAGGCUGAUACCGCCCAAGAGUUCAUAUCGACGGCGGUGUUUGGCACCUCGAUGUCGGCUCAUCACAUCCUGGGGCUGAAGUAGGUCCCAAGGGUAUGGCUGUUCGCCAUUUAAAGUGGUACGCGAGCUGGGUUUAGAACGUCGUGAGACAGUUCGGUCCCUAUCUGCCGUGGGCGUUGGAAGAUUGAGAGGGGUUGCUCCUAGUACGAGAGGACCGGAGUGAACGCACCACUGGUGUUCGGGUUGUCAUGCCAAUGGCAUUGCCCGGUAGCUAAGUGCGGAAGAGAUAACCGCUGAAAGCAUCUAAGCGGGAAACUUGCCUCGAGAUGAGUCUUCCCUGUCGCUUUAAGCGACCUAAAGGAACGUUUAAGACUAAGACGUUGAUAGGCUGGGUGUGUAAGCGUAGCGAUACGUUGAGCUAACCAGUACUAAUGAACCGUGAGGCUUAACCUG